rnacentral:lncRNA from 1 species
CAAUGAGUCGAACUAUUUGUUUAAAUAUAGACAGUGUCGGUUCAUUGUCACCCCAUUCACGGUCUACAUUACGAUCUGUACAAUUAAAUUUUAUUUCGAUAUCAUCAAGAUACAUCGAGCAGAAUGUGACACACUCUGUAGCUACAUAUACUUCUGCUAUAGACCUUUCAGACCGUACUUUAUCAUGCACAUAUUUUUUUAGGAUAC